CCAUGCAAGUCUUAGUACGAACUGAACUUAAAGUGAAACCGCAGAAGGCUCAUUAAAUCAGUUAUGGUUCACUUGAGCUAAAAAUUUUAUGGAUAACUGUGGUAAUUCUAGAGCUAAUACAUGCUAACAAGUCCUGUCCAGCGAUGGAAAGGACGCUUUUAUUAGAUCAAAACCAAUCGGACCUCGGUCCGACGUUUUGGUGACUCUGGAUAACAAUGCAGAUCGCAUGGUCUUUGUACCGGCGACGUAUCUUUCAAAUGCCUGACUUAUCAACUGUCGAUGGUAUAUUCUGUGUGUACCAUGGUUUUAACGGGUAACGGGGAAUCAGGGUUCGAUUCCGGAGAGGGAGCCUGAGAAACGGCUACCACAUCCAAGGAAGGCAGCAGGCACGCAAAUUACCCACUCCCGGCACGGGGAGGUAGUGACAAAAAAUAACGAUACGGGACUCAUCCGAGGCCCCGUAAUCGGAAUGAGCACACUUUAAAUCCUUUAACCAGGAUCUAUUGGAGGGCAAGUCUGGUGCCAGCCGCCGCGGUAACUCCAGCUCCAAUAGCGUAUAUUAAAGUUGUUGCGGUUAGAGGGACAGGCGGCGUAUAGCCGCACGAGAUUGAGCAAUAACAGGUCUGUGAUGCCCUUAGAUGUUCUGGGCCGCACGCGCGCUACACUGAAGGAAUCAGCGUGUAUCUCCCUAGGCCGAAAGGUCCGGGUAACCCGCUGAAACUCCUUCGUGCUAGGAAUUGGGGCUUGAAAUUCUUCCCCAUGAACGAGGAAUUCCCAGUAAGCGCGAGUCAUAAGCUCGCGUUGAUUACGUCCCUGCCCUUUGUACACACCGCCCGUCGCUACUACCGAUUGAAUGAUUUAGUGAGGUCUUCGGACUGGUGGUUAACGGCUCUGUUUCGGCAUUGCCGAUGCCACCGGAAAGAUGACCAAACUUGAUCAUUUAGAGGAAGUAAAAAGUCGUAACAAGGUUUCCCUUGGCAAAUGCUUUCGCAAAAAGCUCGUAGUUGGUUCUGUGUCCCACGCUGUUGGUUCACUGCCUGUCGGUGCAACUGGCAUGUCGUGGGAUGUCCUGUCGGUGGCGUCCGGGGUCUUCGGAUAAGUUCCUUCGGGUGCUUUCCGUUGUUCUUCCGGUCGCCGACUCAAUCCUGCCGCGGUGCUCUUUACUGAGUGUCGAGGUAGGCCGACACGUUUACUUUGAACAAAUUAGAGUGCUUAAAGCAGGCUGAAUCCUGCCAGAAUAGUGGUGCAUGGAAUAAUAGAACAGGACCUUGGUUCUAUUUUGUUGGUUUUCGGAAUCCAAGGUAAUGAUCAAUAUGGACAGACGGGGGCAUUCGUAUUGCGACGUUAGAGGUGAAAUUCUUGGAUCGUCGCAAGACGUACUAAAGCGAAAGCAUUUGCCAAGAAUGUCUUAAUUGAUCAAGAACGAAAGUUAGAGGUUCGAAGGCGAUCAGAUACCGCCCUAGUUCUAACCAUAAACGAUGUCAGCCAGCGAUCCGCCGGCGUUCAUUGAAUGGCUCGGCGGGCAGCUUCCCCGGAAACGAAAGCUUUCGGGUUCCGGGGGAAGUAUGGUUGCAAAGCUGAAACUUAAAGGAAUUGACGGAAGGGCACCACCAGGAGUGGAGCCUGCGGCUUAAUUUGACUCAACACGGGAAACCUCACCAGGCCCGGACAUUGGAAGGAUUGACAGAUUGAUAGCUCUUUCUUGAUUCAGUGGGUAGUGGUGCAUGGCCGUUCUUAGUUGGUGGAACGAUUUGUCUGGUUAAUUCCGAUAACGAACGAGACUCUAGCCUACUAAAUAGGCGAGUUCCGGUAUCCUGACUACCGGCGAUAAACAUACUUCUU
rnacentral:rRNA from 1 species